UACGUAGGUGGCAAGCGUUGUCCGGAUUUAUUGGGCGUAAAGCGCGCACAGGCGGUCCUUUCAGUCUGAUGUGAAAUCUUGCGGCUCAACCGCAAGCGGUCAUUGGAAACUGGGGGACUUGAGUACAGAAGAGGAAAGCGGAAUUCCACGUGUAGCGGUGAAAUGCGUAGAGAUGUGGAGGAACACCAGUGGCGAAGGCGGCUUUCUGGUCUGUAACUGACGCUGAGGCGCGAAAGCGUGGGGAGCAAACAGG
rnacentral:rRNA from 1 species